UACGAGGGGGGCAAGCGUUGCUCGGAAUUAUUGGGCGUAAAGGGCGCGUAGGCGGUUUGACAAGUCUGAUGUGAAAUCUAUGGGCUCAACCCAUAGCCUGCAUUAGAAACUGUCGGGCUUGAGUAUGGGAGAGGUGAGUGGAAUUUCCGGUGUAGCGGUGAAAUGCGUAGAUAUCGGAAGGAACACCUGUGGCGAAAGCGGCCCACUGGACCAUAACUGACGCUGAGGCGCGAAAGCUAGGGGAGCAAACAGG
rnacentral:rRNA from 1 species